rnacentral:tRNA from 1 species
GAGCGGUAGUUCAGUUGGUUAGAAUACCGGCCUGUCACGCCGGGGGUCGCGGGUUCGAGCCCCGUCCACUC